AGUUCGGAAGGUAGAAUUGGAGUUCAGUUAACAGUUGGGAGUACUAUUUAGAAUCCAAAUGCAGUUCAGCUAAUUUUCCUCUACUCUAAUAAUCUACCCUGCAUUUUUAGCGGAAAAGCAUCAAGAUUGUUUGGAUUGUGAUUUUUCGUUUAAGUUUUUUGUGAAUAUAUUUCUCAAUCGGAUUUAGCAAUCCAAACAAAGUGAUUGUUAUUCACAUGGCGCAGAUUGGAUUCAGCGGCACUUUAGCUCUCAUUUUCGUCCUCCUGAUUGCCACCGGAACCGGGGGAUUUUACCGAUUAGCCGAGGGAGCAAAGCGGAGAAUCCACGUCGCGGACAACCUCGACGACGUCGUUGAUGACGAGGAGGACGAGGCCUGGAAAGAAUGGGGCAAAAAGAAAUCCACCACAAGGCCCCAAUUCGAUCCGCCCCCUGACGAUUUCUCCAAUAUGGACGUCGCGGAAAUGCAGUCUGAAAUGCUGAAGCGCCAAGUCGGACCCGUUUUCGGCUUCGCCAAGCUCCGAAUCGGCCCUCGUCGGACCCCUGAUAUGGUAUCUGAAAUUGCAAUGAAAUGGAGUAAGGUGGCAAGGACCGGAGGAAUUGAGGCAAAUUUCAUGGGAGUUGAUGUCAGUACGAUUAUGUUCACAAUGGAAAAAGGUCAAGACGCCAUUGAGUUGCAAGAAUUUAUAUUAAGUCAACCAGACGCAUAUGAAGUUAAGAUAGGAGAUCAGUUUUUCCGGCGACCUGGUGAUCCUUCUUUCGACGAGGUUUUCAGCAAGCACGAGAGCGAGAAAAGUGGUGAAGACCAUGACAAGCACAGCGAGCUAUGAUCACAAAGGGAUCUGCUAUGCACUUUGUUUUGACUCUUAGCAGCUGAUUAUAGCCUUUCAGGAAGCCCUCAUGACAAGCUUAUGACUCUCCUGCCUGAGAGAAGUUUACAACAUCUCAAUCACCUCAGAGGUAGCUUUGUUUACUCUACAAACAAGUAAUCCUGUGUCCAUGAAUUCAUAAUCUUCUGCAUCAAUCGGAUAGCAACCAUGACUGAAGUACGUGAAGCUCUUUCUAACAAGUAUAUGAACACAGAGAUAUCAUAUAUUGUGUGGACAAAUAUAUCAGAGAUGAUUUGAUUAA